UACGUAGGGUCCAAGCGUUAAUCGGAAUUACUGGGCGUAAAGGGUGCGCAGGUGGUUGAUUAAGUGUGAUGUGAAAGCCCCGGGCUCAACCUGGGAAUUGCAUUGCAAACUGAUCAACUAGAGUAUGGCAGAGGGGGGUGGAAUUCCGCGUGUAGCAGUGAAAUGCGUAGAGAUGCGGAGGAACACCGAUGGCGAAGGCAACCCCCUGGGCUAAUACUGACACUCAUGCACGAAAGCGUGGGGAGCAAACAGG
rnacentral:rRNA from 1 species